rnacentral:lncRNA from 1 species
AUGUCCACACAGGGCCGGAGGAAUCCCAUCCCAAACAAGUGCUAUGAACUCACUGGGAUCAGCAGGUGGUGUGUGUUCAGCUGCUCGGAGCAACAUUCGGCCUGCCUAUUCCCAGCGAGGGCAGCUGACAUCAGAGAGGCAAUGCCCCGUGAAUGUGCCAUUCAGCGGACAGGAGGGCCCGCAGUCUGCACGUUAGACAUGAAAGUGUUUGUAACAUGCAGAUGUUUUCCAUGCAGAGGCCGAGCAAAGUGAUGGACGAGCUCGUGUAAAUCUUGUGCUGUUGCGUGUUUGUUGUUUUAGUUGUUGUUGUUUAAAUUUCUCCCUCACAUGCCCCCAUUUCCUUGCCUUGUGUGGAAGAAUGAUAGCAUUAAAAAUAAUGGGUUAUAUCCGUAGCUGAUAUAAUUUGGUGUGACUCCAGUGACUUCACAGAGCUAUGCCUGUUUACACAAGCUGCAAGUUUCUCCCAUCAAUUUAAAGCUGUACAGAUUUACAUCACGGGGAACACGGCUGUUUGUUUUUUCCCUCGCUUGAUUAAAGGGUCCUCCCACGGCCACGUGAGCCAGAGCAGAGCUGAGGUGCUGAGCAGGAGAGGCCCACGGCUGCACCCACCGCCGGCUCUCCCUGUGGGCACGUAGCUCCGUGCCCUCCCCACCUCCCUGAGUCCCAACACAUCCCAAAUGUCCCUGAGCCCUGUGGAGGACGGGGCCCUCUUCACCACCAGGGCUGGGGGUAAAAACUCCUGCUGUGGUUGAUAGGGGGCAGCGACCUGGAUGCACAGGUCCCUCUGCCCAGGUGAUUUCCUUAACCACCAAGCUAAUGGCUAUUUUUAAAAAGUUCUCCUUCCCUUUCAUUUUCAUUUCAUGAAACAUUUCAAGACGCCUUGCUUUCAUCUUCCUAUGGAGUAAAAACACAUUUCGAAACCUGACCAUUUUCUACUAAAUGAAAUUCUUGUGUUCCCACUUGCCCUAACCAGAAGCCCUGUACCACCACGUCCGCAAAAUAUGCUGCAUUGUGCUAUGAUCUUGUGCCGUUCUGCAGAGAAACAUGACUAGGUUUCACGUGGCAUUACAACCAGAGCUCACUCAAAACUCCCCUCCUGGAAGCAAGCACCCAUCCAUGCACACAAAGCAUGAAGCCAGACACUUCCCUUUCGGAAACAGUUUGCUGAGCAGGCUGGAGAGCUUAAAUGCUGCUGAAAACAACAACAACACUGCUGGACAACGAGCUGACCCAGCCUGAUUUGGGGAUACACUGAAUAAUCCAAAAGAGCAGGUGACUUAAAUACCAAAUUCCUUGCCACAUUUACUGAUUUAAUGUGACCACUAAAGUUCUCCAGGCUUUUUGGAAGCCCUAGUUGUGAUUGCAGGAACCAGUAUGUCCAAGACAAUUCCACAGGUUGAGCGCUGUCAUUAAAAGCGUGACCUGUUCCUGCUUGAGGCAAACGAUGGAGUCCCUGCGGGAGUGGGAGUGAAUGAACUGCCUGUCCCAUCCACCACAGCAGGAGCUCUCCCCUACGAAGCACGACCACUGGAGGUCUCUGAGGCCAUGGUAAAAGUCUCACAUGUUUUCCAAUUAAAUCUGAGCUUCAUACUGCCUAGUGACCUGCAAGACAUGUUUGGAGUACAUUUGCUGGAUGAAUUGAGAGAGCACCCAAGACGACGAGGGAGGAUUCCAAUAUAAGGACAAACCUUUUCACCAGGAAAAGUGGUCAAACACCGAGACAGAGGUCCAGAAAGAUUGUCUCCACCUUGGAGAUCUUCUAAACAUGAUGGGACAAGGCCCUCAGCUACCUGCUCUGAGCAGGAAGCCCUGCUGCUAGAUGAUCUCCAGAGGUGCCUUCCACCCUAA